rnacentral:ncRNA from 3 species
GGCCCAUUAGCUCAGUUGGUUAGA